rnacentral:lncRNA from 1 species
GAAGUUUCUGUUAGAUGGUUAAAUUCAGCUUGGAGGACAUUGUGGCCUGAGGCUGUCAUUUCAAGGGACAUUAAAGACUUUGAACAGUUGGAGGAAAAUCCCCAUGUGCAGGAAGUUGUAUGUCUCGGCAGUUCCAUGGGCUUGGAGAUCAAUGAGGAUGAUGUGGAGGAGUUGGUGAAGGAGCACAAGAAGGAAUUGUCAUUGGAAGAGCUAAUAGAGCUUCACACUGAAGAGGCAGAGGCAUUGACACAGGGAACAGCUUUUGAAGAUGAUGAAGAUAAGGAAAAAAAUAACAGCAUUCCAGCUGAUGACCUUGAAGUGUUCUCUUGUUGGAAUAGACUAUCCAAACUUAUGAGAGAUUAUCACCC